GGCAGUUAAAAUCAGUUAGGAAUAUUUAAGAAGGAAAAAAGAGCCAUAGAGUCAAAGUUUUUCAGUUCUUCAUUGUUUCAUAUGUUGUUGUUAAUUACAAGCCGGUUACUGGAAUAAUUGGUUAUUCAUGAUAGCAUCUCUUUAUUGUUCAACUUCAGAUGGCUAAACCCAACGAUAUUGCAAUUUCUACACUUCAAGUCCAAGUAGAUGACGUGAAAACCGUUAUGACCCAAAACAUCGAAAAGGUCCUAGAAAGAGAAGAGCGACUGAGUGAACUUGCUGACCGAAGUGAUGAUCUUGAAACAGCGGCUCAUGGCUUCCAAAAAACUACUAUCAAGAUUUCAAAGAAAAUGUGGUGGAAAAAUGCUAAAAUGAUCAUAAUUAUAGCAAUAAUAUUUAUCAUCAUUGUUGUUUUCAUAGUUCUUAUAGCCACAGGAGUUAUUCCAAUGUAAGGAACGUUUAAACCUACAUAGUGUACAAAGCUGUAUGAAGCACAAAUAUUUAUGUUGAAACCCUAUUUUUAUAUAUAAACUGCUUGGUUUCACCCAUUAAUAAAGUAGCUCAUGCUCCAUCUUCUAUUUGGAAGUGUACUUUCUUGCAAAGUGAUAGGCUAUUAGGUCUAAUUAGAAUCCUUAUACCAAAAUAAUUGAACAGAAUUUCUUAUUCUAUUCAAUCUAAGAAGUGACUUUCUCAAUUAGAAUAGGAAAGAGGCAUCCAAAUAGAAUUAGUUUUUUGAGUUCUAGCUCCCCUGUAAGGUUUCUUUAAUUUCCACCUUCGUGGAUUAAAUCAAGUAUAAAUUAAGCUCUUGGUAUUUCUCUCCAGAAUACUCUAAUUAUUAUUUGUUAUCUAACAUCCAUUAAGUCACAAAUCAGCUUUUCUGGAAUCUGGAAACACCAGUGAGCUUUCAAGGAUGUUGAGAAGAACUUAUAUACAGUCAGGUCCAGAAAUAUUGGGACAUCGACACAAUUCAAACAUCUUUGGCUCUAUACACCACCACAAUGGAGUUGGAAUGAAACAAACACAAUGUGC